CGGCGAUUAUAGGUCAUGGGCGGAGCCUGACCAGCCAUGCCGCGUGCAGGAUGACUGCCCUAUGGGUUGUAAACUGCUUUUGUCCGGGAAUAAACCUCCUUACGAGUAGGGAGCUGAAUGUACCGGAAGAAUAAGGAUCGGCUAACUCCGUGCCAGCAGCCGCGGUAAUAAAUA
rnacentral:rRNA from 1 species